UACGGAGGAUGCAAGCGUUAUCCGGAAUGAUUGGGCGUAAAGCGUCCGUAGGUGGCCUGUGCAAGCGUGCGGUGAAAGCUCGGGGCUCAACCCCGAGUCGGCCGUGCGAACUGCUGGGCUCGAGCACUGUAGAGGCAGGCGGAAUUCCGGGUGUAGCGGUGGAAUGCGUAGAGAUCCGGAAGAACACCGGUGGCGAAGGCGGCCUGCUGGGCAGUGGCUGACACUGAGGCGCGACAGCGUGGGGAGCAAACAGG
rnacentral:rRNA from 1 species